UACGUAGGGGGCUAGCGUUGUCCGGAAUCAUUGGGCGUAAAGCGCGCGUAGGUGGCCCGGUAAGUCCGCUCUGAAAGUCACAGGCUCAACCUGUGAAAGCGGGUGGAUACUGCCGGGCUAGAGUCCGGAAGAGGCGAGUGGAAUUCCUGGUGUAGCGGUGGAAUGCGCAGAUAUCAGGAGGAACACCAACGGCGAAGGCAGCUCGCUGGGACGGUACUGACACUGAGGUGCGAAAGCGUGGGGAGCAAACAGG
rnacentral:rRNA from 1 species